rnacentral:misc_RNA from 1 species
UGAGUGGUGUUUGGUUUGUCAUGGGUGGUUGGCUCUUUGCUUAUGCAACAACUUCCACCUGGCUUACCUCUUCAGUUAUCUGUCUAGGCUAUUAUUGCCCAGGCGGAAUGCGGGUUUCCUGUGUUGCCUACCUUAGUGAUGGUAUUGUCCCGGUUGAUUAGUGUCCCUUAUCGUCUUGUGUUAUACUCAUAACACUAGAUGAUCCUUAAAGCUGUCUCUUUGAACCACAACAUUGCUUGUUGAUGUUGUGGAACAUUGAGCAUUGCUCGGUCUCUUGAAUACGGAAUGUGAUGUGGGCAUGGGGUCUUUUGAGAUCCUUGUUCUGCCCUCACUAAGCGUUGUCGCUUCCCUUGAAAAUGACUUCCUGAUGCGCAUUGGCUCGUACCAGCGUGCCGGGUCAAGUCAAAGAGGAUUGCUACCUGGUUGAUCCUGCCAGUAGUCA